rnacentral:tRNA from 1 species
ACUUAUAUAGCUUAUAUAAAGCACUACAUUGAAGCUGUAGGGAAGGCGAUAAUCGCCUUUAAGUA